rnacentral:tRNA from 2 species
GGGGUUCUGGCCGAGUGGUUAAGGCGCUGUGUUUAGGUUCAUUGACCAACCGCAGUGGGAAACCGCGCAGGUUCGAAUCCUGCGGACCUCA